rnacentral:rRNA from 1 species
GUGGGGAAUAUUGGGCAAUGGGCGCAAGCCUGAUCCAGCAAUGCCGCGUGGGUGAAGAAGGUCUUCGGAUCGUAAAGCCCUUUCGACAGGGACGAUGAUGACGGUACCUGUAGAAGAAGCCCCGGCUAACUUCGUGCCAGCAGCCGCGGUAAUACGAAGGGGGCUAGCGUUACUCGGAAUUACUGGGCGUAAAGGGCGCGUAGGCGGCUCUGUUAGUCAGGCGUGAAAUUCCUGGGCUUAACCUGGGGACUGCGCUUGAUACUGCAGGGCUUGAGGCCGAGAGAGGGUGGUGGAAUUCCCAGUGUAGAGGUGAAAUUCGUAGAUAUUGGGAAGAACACCGGUGGCGAAGGCGACCACCUGGCUCGGUUCUGACGCUGAGGCGCGUCAGCGUGGGGAGCAAGCAGGAUUAGAUACCCUUGUAGUCC